CCCAAGCAGAAAGGCAGUAGGUUUGGCCGGAAGUGACGUAGCUGGGAGAGUGGGCGGAGGAGCUGCGGUGAGACCGUCGGCGCGGAAUUGGUGGCGCUAGGCGUGCGGCUGGGCGCGAGGUAGUACAGGUCUGGCAGCCAUUCUUCGUCACAGAAAAUGUCUACCAAAUUAGGAGCACCUGUCUUUGCCUUCCAGCACCCAGAAGCUCAAGGAUUUGAAGGCAUAAGUUACCCUGAAAGGCGGCCACUGCAGAAGGUGCCUCAUCAAAACAAGGGAACAAUUUAAGAAGGCAUGAGAUUCUGAAACCAUAAGAUGUCACAAUGGAAAGCAGUGAAGGACAGUCGUUAAGUGUCUACUGUGUCAAGUAAGUAGUAUAGUGCUUCCAGGAAUUUGAUCUGUAGGGAAACAUGGAACAAAGUUUGACUACUAUGGAAAACGAAGAAAGAAGCAAGACCAAUUUUGUAACUGUAGGGAAAAAGAGAAGUAGUAUAAGCACAUAGGAAACUAACUUAAUGGUAAAAUGAGAAUAAAAUUCCCCCACAUAAGCAUUUUGAAUAUGUGCACUCUCUCAAGAAUAAAUCUGCGGCCAGGUGCGGUGACUCAUGCCUGUAAUACUGGUACUCCAGGAGACUGAGAUGGGCAGAUCUCUUACAAGUUCGAGACCAGCCUGAGCAAGAGUGAGACCCUUGUCUCUAAAAAUAGCUCAGCAUUGUGGCAGGCGCCUGUAGUCCCAGCUACUCAGGAGGCUGAGGCAAGAGGAUUACUUGAGCCCAGGAAUUUGAAGUUGCUGUGAGCUAUGAUACCACAGCACUCUACCCAGGGUGACAGAGGGAGACUCAAAAAAAAGAAUAAAUCUGAAAUUUUAUUUCUUAAAAAGUAAUUAUGUUACAAUUUAGUAAUCAGAUGUUAGAAAUUUGACAUUAAAAAUAUAGUAAAAUUAUAUUGUCAGUUUUAAGAUUGGUCCUUCGGGCAUCAUACUCCAAUUGCCAUAGAUGCUCACCUUUAUUAAGAUGUGCUCUGAAGAAGAUAUUUGCAGGAAAAAAGAAAGUUUUUCAAUUUAUUUUGUAAAAGGAACUUUGUCCUUUGCUUAGGCGAAUUGCAAUAAUUUUUUAUUUACAGAAAUGAUGCAUAGUCUGUAACAGGAAUUUCAACAAGUUUUUUGUUUACAUUUGUGGAAUUAAAGGUUGAGUAUCCCUAUCCAAAAAUUUGAAAUUUAAAAUGCUCCAAAAUCCAAAACUUUUUGAGCACAGACAUGUGCCACAAGUGGAACAUUCCACAACUGACCUCAUGUAAUAGGUUGUAGUCAAGACACAGAUGCACGGCACACAGUUUAUUAAAAAUAGUUUAUUUGGCUAUGCAUAUAAAGUGUAUGUGAAACAAAUGAAUUCUGUAUUUAGACGUAGGUCCCAUCCCCCCAAUAGCUCAUUAUGUAUGUGCAGAUAUGCCAAAAUCUGGAAAAAUUCAAAAUCCAAAACACUUCCUGGUCUCAGUCUUUUUAAGAUAAGGAAUACUCAGCUCGGUGCCUGUAGCUCAGCGGCUAGGGCACUGGCCACAUUCACUGGGGCUGGUGGGUUUGAACCCAACCCGGGCCUACCAAACAAUGACAACUACAACAAAGCCUGUAGUACCAGCUACUUGGGAGGCUGAGGCAAGAGAAUCACUUAAGCCUAAGAGUUUGAGGUUGCUGUGAGCUGUGAUGCUAUAGCACUCUACUGAGGGCAACGUAGUGAGACUCUAUCUCAAAAAAAAGAUAUGGGAUACUCAACUUGUAUCUAUUUUUUUUUUAAUAGAUACAAGUUUGAAAUUUCAUAUUACUUUUCAUCUUCCAUACUGUUUUUGCUGUCAAGAUUUGGUUUCAUCCAGUGGUUGAUCCAUAAUAUAUUCCUACAUAAUAUUUUAGAUUUCUUUUCUAUAACUUAUGGUUGAGAGUUUUUUCUAUGCUUUACUUGUAUAUAUAAUCUCAGAUAAAUUUUGAUUUAAUUACAAGUGAUUUGUGGGCUAUUAUGUUGCCUUUCUGUCGUAUGUAUUAAGUAAGUAAUGUCAGGCCAAUUUGUCUACCUCCUUUUUUCUAAGUGAUAACAUAUACACAGUAAAAUAUAUAACAUGCAGUAAUUGUCAGUGUACUUGUUUUUUGAGACAGCCUUAUUCUGUCACCCUAGAUAAAUUGCCAUGGCCUCAUAGCUCACAGCAACCUCAGACUCUUGAGUUUGAUCAAUCCUCUUGCCUCAGCCUCUGGAGUAGCCAGGACUGUGUGCCACUGUGCCCAGAUAUUUUUUUCCAUUUUUUAGUAGAGAUGGAGUCUCACUCUUGCUUAGUCUGCUCUGGAACUCCCGAGCUCAAGCAGUCCACCUGACUCAGCCUCCCAGAGUGCUAGGAUUACAAGUAUGAGCCAGGGCAACUGGCUUUGUAAAUAUACUUCUUGAUGAUCUUUUACAUAUGUUUACAUUCAUAUCAAGGUCAUAUUAAGAUAUAUACAUUCAGAUCAAAGUACUAAAAAUUUCUGAUUGCCUAGUCCUUUCAUCACAGUUUAUACCUCCUCCAGAAAUAACUACUGUUUUAUAAAGAUCAGUUAAGUUUUGCAUGUUCUCAAACUUCAUGUAAAUGGGAUGAUACAGUGUGUAUUGUUUUAUGCUUGAUUCUUUCAUCAUAGUACUUUUUUUUUUAUUGCUGUAAACUAUUCCAUCAUAUGAGUAUACCUUAAUUCAUUUAUUCUUUCACCUGUUGACAUCUGAGUUCUUUCCAACU